rnacentral:rRNA from 1 species
GACGAACGCUGGCGGCGUGCUUAACACAUGCAAGUCGAACGGAAAGGCCCUGCUUUUGUGGGGUGCUCGAGUGGCGAACGGGUGAGUAACACGUGAGUAACCUGCCCUUGACUUUGGGAUAACUUCAGGAAACUGGGGCUAAUACCGGAUAGGAGCUCCUGCUGCAUGGUGGGGGUUGGAAAGUUUCGGCGGUUGGGGAUGGACUCGCGGCUUAUCAGCUUGUUGGUGGGGUAGUGGCUACCAAGGCUUUGACGGGUAGCCGGCCUGAGAGGGUGACCGGCCACAUUGGGACUGAGAUACGGCCCAGAAUCCUACGGGAGGCAGCAGUGGGGAAUAUUGCACAAUGGGCGGAAGCCUGAUGCAGCAACGCCGCGUGCGGGAUGACGGCCUUCGGGUUGUAAACCGCUUUCGCCUGUGACGAAGCGUGAGUGACGGUAAUGGGUAAAGAAGCACCGGCUAACUACGUG